UUUUUUUUUUUUUUUUUUUUUUUUUUUUUUUUGAGGGUCAAACAGUGUGUUUGCUGAGUGUGGUUAGAAUGAGGAGGUGGGGAGCUGCUCAGGACUGGAAGGUUUGCUUUCUAGGAGUAUGCGGCAUCCUUCCUGUGCGACGUGACUAACUGUUGGGCUGGAACGUUCCAGCUUUUGUGUGUCUUAAGCAAUGUAGCUUGUGUAGUGUGUGUUGUGUGGCCCGGGCAGAGUUUGCUGUGGUGCAGUGGGCGAAGAAUCUCAGUUAGAGCUGGUGCUUUGUGCGGUCGUGGACAGGAAAGGGAAAUCCUCGUGUCGCGGAGCAGUGAGGGAAGAGUAAAAUUCCAGUUUGCCUUUUGUUGAGGGAAUCUGGAAACAGCACAGAUCCCACGGCCUGCUGCAGCUGAGCAAACCAAGAUACCAGGGUAACGGUGAGAAGCUCCUAUGACAGUGUUCCCACAUCGCCCAACUGAGGAGUGCAGAAAAAUAUUGCUGCCAGCAGCUGAUACCAAAAACAAGGUCUACGUGACUACUAAUCACAAGGGGACUGUUUUCUUGCAGGUGGGGUUGUUUUCUUCUGGUUGUUUUUCUGAGUGCUUUGGCCAAUAACCUUGCGUGAAACACUGUCCACCCCUGUUGAGUUCUCUAUAAAAGUUAGGCUAUUCGGGCAAUAAAAUGGAGCAUGAUCUGA